GGAAGCCGGUGCGAAUCCGGCGCGGUCCCGCCACUGUCAUCGGGGAGCAACCCUCAUCGGCCACGGCCCGCUUUUCCAGGGGCUGGAAGGCGAGGGAAGCGCUGAUCCGAGAGCCAGGAUAC
rnacentral:ncRNA from 1 species